AACAGACUUAAACAUAUUCGAUCGUUUAUUGAGCGGUCGUUCACACCUUCAAGCUUUCAGAGUUCUGGAGGACGUUUAAUCUACGGCUAAAAAAAAAUCUGUGAGACACUGUGAGUACAUUCACACGGCUUUAUGGCUGUGAACUGUGCGUCCAGGCCAAGGGAAGAUGAGCCGACGCCACCUGCCGAUCUAAAGCAUGUCAAACACAGAGACAAAAAGAUGUUUAACGCGCGAAAUCCACCCUGACUCAUCUGGAGAAGUGAUUCCUACUGCCUGAAGAAUCGCUAGAGAGCAGGUUGUCGCUUGCUGAAAUGUGCCUCUGUAGUUCCGGUCGAAGAACUGCGUUACCCAUCAUCCUCGGGCGAGACGAACCAAUCAGAGAAGUCACUGUUACCACGGAAACGGCAAUCAAGACCACAACAGUUCUUACGAUUUUAUUUUGUGAGAAGCAGGAGACCUCGAGGCAAGACACUUCUAGUACACUUCUAAGUGCUCUAUUUUUGCGCACUAAUACUAUAUUGUGCCUAAUAUACAAAAAAAUGAGUCUUUAAGAUAAACUUAAAGAACACCGAAGUGUACUCUGUACUAACUGAAUAUGAACUAAAAUGCAGUUUUAAUACACUAUCUUUGUAUUUUAAAAAAACAAUAUAACAGUACUACAAUUAGAGUAUGUGCUACAAGUAGUAACUAAAUACAGUUGAGUACACUUAGAUGAUCUUAAGUUUAUUUUAAGUACUAAAGAAUCAUUUUUAGUAAAAUAAGUACAAAAUGAAUGCGUAAACAAAUAGAGCACUUAUGAAAGUGUACUUGUUUUUCACCCUAGUAUGUGGACUAGUGGAAAUGAAACAAAUGCGCAGUGAUUUUAUUUCACUUUGUCUAUUUCACCUACAGUGCCCAUCUUUAAAAAAUCUUUUUAUCUCAAAAUAACAUUUUUCUCUUCACUUCAGCAGUGUUUACAUACACCAGCAUUUUAUUGAGGUUUUUACGAAGGUUUGUUGAUAUAUAAAUAACCUGAUUUUAUGUUUUAUCCCUAAAAA